rnacentral:rRNA from 1 species
AGAGUUUGAUCCUGGCUCAGAGUGAACGCUGGCGGCAGGCCUAAUACAUGCAAGUCGAACGGCAGCACAGCAGAGCUUGCUCUGGUGGGUGGCGAGUGGCGGACGGGUGAGGAAUACAUGGGAAUCUGCCCAGUCGUGGGGGAUAACGUAGGGAAACUUACGCUAAUACCGCAUGCGCCCUUCGGGGGAAAAGCCGGGGGACCUUCGGGCCUGGCGCGAUUGGAUGAGCCCAUGUCGGAUUAGCUAGUUGGCGGGGUAAUGGCCCACCAAGGCGACGAUCCGUAGCUGGGUCUGAGAGGAUGAUCAGCCACACUGGAACUGAGACACGGUCCAGACUCCUACGGGAGGCAGCAGUAGGGAAUAUUGGACAAUGGGCGCAAGCCUGAUCCAGCCAUGCCGCGUGAGUGAAGAAGGCCCUCGGGUUGUAAAGCUCUUUUGUCCGGAAAGAAAAGCGCCGGGUUAAUACCCUAGUGUCCUGACGGUACCGGAAGAAUAAGCACCGGCUAACUUCGUG